CCUACGGGUGGCUGCAGUCGGGGAUAUUGGGCAAUGGAGGAAACCCUGACCCAGCAAUACCGCGUGGAGGAUGAAGGGUUUCGGAUUGUAAACUUCUGUUAUAAAGGAAGAAAAAAAUGACGGUACUUUAUAAGUAAGCCCCGGCAAACUAUGUGCCAGCAGCCGCGGUGAUACAUAGGGGGCAAGCGUUGUCCGGAAUGACUGGGUGUAAAGGGUGUGUAGGUGGCUUAUUAAGUUAGUGGUGAAAGCCCGAAGCUCAACUUCGGAACUGCCUUUAAAACUGGUUGGCUUGAGUGUGGGAGGGGCUAGUGGAACUCCUGGUGUAGCGGUGGAAGGCGUAGAUAUUAGGAAGAACAUCAGAGGCGAAGGCGACUAGCUGGAACACUACUGACACUGAAACACGAAAGCGUGGGGAGCAAACAGGAUUAGAUACCCCUGUAGUC
rnacentral:rRNA from 1 species